rnacentral:rRNA from 1 species
AGUGAACGCUGGCGGUAGGCCUAACACAUGCAAGUCGAACGGCAGCACAGUAAGAGCUUGCUCUUACGGGUGGCGAGUGGCGGACGGGUGAGGAAUACAUCGGAAUCUACUUUUUCGUGGGGGAUAACGUAGGGAAACUUACGCUAAUACCGCAUACGACCUACGGGUGAAAGCAGGGGAUCUUCGGACCUUGCGCGACUGAAUGAGCCGAUGUCGGAUUAGCUAGUUGGCGGGGUAAAGGCCCACCAAGGCGACGAUCCGUAGCUGGUCUGAGAGGAUGAUCAGCCACACUGGAACUGAGACACGGUCCAGACUCCUACGGGAGGCAGCAGUGGGGAAUAUUGGACAAUGGGCGCAAGCCUGAUCCAGCAAUACCGCGUGGGUGAAGAAGGCCUUCGGGUUGUAAAGCCCUUUUGUUGGGAAAGAAAAGCAGCAGGUUAAUACCCCGCUGUUCUGACGGUACCCAAAGAAUAAGCACCGGCUAACUUCGUG